UACGUAGGGGGCGAGCGUUGUCCGGAUUCAUUGGGCGUAAAGAGCUCGUAGGCGGCUUGGUAAGUCUGGUGUGAAAACCUGAGGCUCAACCUCAGGCCUGCACCCGAUACUGCUAUGGCUUGAGUCCGGUAGGGGAGUGUGGAAUUCCCGGUGUAGCGGUGAAAUGCGCAGAUAUCGGGAGGAACACCAGUGGCGAAGGCGGCACUCUGGGCCGGAACUGACGCUGAGGAGCGAAAGCGUGGGGAGCGAACAGG
rnacentral:rRNA from 1 species